rnacentral:rRNA from 1 species
GAUGAACGCUGGCGGCGUGCUUAACACAUGCAAGUCGAACGGUGAAGCAGGAGCUUGCUCUUGUGGAUCAGUGGCGAACGGGUGAGUAACACGUGAGCAACCUGCCCCUGACUCUGGGAUAAGCGCUGGAAACGGCGUCUACUACUGGAUAUGUGAUGUGACCGCAUGGUCUGCAUCUGGAAAGAAUUUCGGUUGGGGAUGGGCUCGCGGCCUAUCAGCUUGUUGGUGAGGUAAUGGCUCACCAAGGCGUCGACGGGUAGCCGGCCUGUGAGGGUGACCGGCCACACUGGGACUGAGACACGGACCAGACGCUACGGGAGGCAGCGGUGGGGAAUAUUGCACAAUGGGCGGAAGCCUGAUGCAGCAACGCCGCGUGAGGGAUGACGGCCUUCGGGUUGUAAACCUCUUUUAGCAGGGAAGAAGCGAAAGUGACGGUACCUGCAGAAAAAGCACCGGCUAACUACGUGCCAGCCGCCGCAGUAA